rnacentral:rRNA from 1 species
UCCUACGGGAGGCAGCAGUAGGGAAUCUUCCGCAAUGGACGAAAGUCUGACGGAGCAACGCCGCGUGAGUGAUGAAGGUUUUCGGAUCGUAAAACUCUGUUGUCAGGGAAGAACAUGUACGGGAGUAACUGUCCGUACCUUGACGGUACCUGACCAGAAAGCCACGGCUAACUACGUGCCAGCAGCCGCGGUAAUACGUAGGUGGCAAGCGUUGUCCGGAAUUAUUGGGCGUAAAGCGCGCGCAGGCGGUCUUUUAAGUCUGAUGUGAAAGCCCACGGCUCAACCGUGGAAGGUCAUUGGAAACUGGAAGACUUGAGUGCAGAAGAGAAGAGCGGAAUUCCACGUGUAGCGGUGAAAUGCGUAGAGAUGUGGAGGAACACCAGUGGCGAAGGCGGCUCUUUGGUCUGUAACUGACGCUGAGGCGCGAAAGCGUGGGGAGCAAACAGGAUUAGAUACCCUGGUAGUCCACGCCGUAAACGAUGAGUGCUAAGUGUUGGGGGGUUUCCGCCCCUCAGUGCUGCAGCUAACGCAUUAAGCACUCCGCCUGGGGAGUACGGCCGCAAGGCUGAAACUCAAAGGAAUUGACGGA